GAUGAACGCUGGCUACAGGCUUAACACAUGCAAGUCGAGGGGAAACGACGGGGAAGCUUGCUUCCCCGGGCGUCGACCAGCGCACGGGUGAGUAACGCGUAUCCAACCUGCCUCUGACUGAGGGAUAACCCGUCGAAAGUCGGCCUAAUACCUCAUGGCAUCGUCUGCGGGCAUCCAACGACGAUUAAAGAUUUCAUCGGUCAGAGAUGGGGAUGCGUCUGAUUAGCUUGUUGGCGGGGUAACGGCCCACCAAGGCGACGAUCAGUAGGGGUUCUGAGAGGAAGGUCCCCCACAUUGGAACUGAGACACGGUCCAAACUCCUACGGGAGGCAGCAGUGAGGAAUAUUGGUCAAUGGGCGAGAGCCUGAACCAGCCAAGUAGCGUGCAGGAUGACGGCCCUAUGGGUGGUAAACUGCUUUUAUGCGGGGAUAAAGUGAGGGACGUGUCCUUCAUUGCAGGUACCGCAUGAAUAAGGACCGGCUAAUUCCGUG
rnacentral:rRNA from 1 species